CGCGUCCCUACUCCCUACUAAAUAACAUACGUAAGAAACAAAAACAAAGCGAUGCCGUGCAUUCGUACAACUUUUUUUGUUUUGCUUCACAUAAAUUCGUACAUUACGGGUUCAGUUCACUUAAUAAGAAUUUGGGCAUAGCGACCAUAUCGUCGUCGUCGAUGCGAUGACGCGUCACGUCGCUUCCACUCUACCGCAAUGUGUCUUGUGCCUUGUGACCUCGUUGUACGAUAAGCCAUAGGUGAUUAUAGGUUGAAUUAUCGAACUUUUUAUUGAUUGUAACAUGAGUGUAUUUUUGUAAAUUUGAAUAUUAUGAUGCAUUUAUUUCAUACAUUAUGUACAUAGCUCUCAAAAAUUACAUUUCAAAUACUCCAUACGCGUAAAUAUUAAUAUAUUUUUAUCUAUUAAAUUGACUGUGCUUUUGGAAUAUCUGUCGAAGAUAGUUCUUUCUUUUUCUUAUAAGAAAGUUAAAUCAUGUGUGCAAUUUCUUGAGAGAGCCGUCGAUAUUCGAUAUUAAAUUGUGUAUUGAUGUUUAAAAGCAAAGAAAAUGUAUUUCACCAUCAGAAUCAAAGUGACCUAACUCAAAAUUUACGUUUUUUGGUAAAACUUUUUUCGGUGUUAUUUAUUGAGUUACUUACUUCAAGAUAAAGAUAGUUAGUAACUUUCGAAAAUAAAUUGAUUCAACUCACACAUUUAACCUUAUUUUUUUCAUUCAUCUUGUUAGGUACCUUUCCGUUGUCGUUUUCAUCAUUUUCAUUCUGAAGGUGAAAUCUAAUUAUAAAAUUGACACUGCCACUUGCUUUUAUUAGAAUAUAUUUAAUAAGGCCAAGGGAUCAAGAAAAACCUAUGAUAAUAAAAAUGUAUGAGUCAUUAAUAUACAAAAAGUUUUAAAUCAACGUUUUUCAACGAAUUAAAAUUGCUCCAUCUACUCGAACAUAGUUUAGUUUUAAAAUUUAUAACAUCAAUAUUCAACAGCUAGAAUAAUAUUAAGUAAGUAAUUCUUUUUAUAUUCAAAAAAAUACUGGUGUAGCGUUUAAAAAAGAUUGUAUUGACUCUCCCAAAACUAAAGUGUUGUUUAAAUCCAAAAUUGAGGAUAAUUUUCAAAAAUGCUAUUUUAACUGUAAAUAUUUUUGUACCUACCUACAUAAUGAAAAGAAUUUAAAGCGCGGGUCCACGUUUCAAGGUAGUUUUAGUUACGUUUUUUCGAAAUAUAUUUCCAUUUGAUUGUUGUCAUUUUACUCGCGAUCGUGUAUGAUAUGCUUAAAAAAUGACCGUGGUCAGUUAGUGCUAAGUCAAAUAAUAUGAGGUCCUCAAUCAUCUAUUUUGAUACACAGCUUACUUAAAAAAAAGUUUUGUAAAAAAACAAUAAAAAAGUUAGAUAAAACUUUGUUAAAGACUUUUUUAACUAAUAUUUGUACGCGACUGUAAUCGAUGUCUAUGAAAAUAUAAAUAUAUUUUUGUAGUUUUUCUACGAAAUAUUCUGGAUAAUAUUAAUUGUACACAGCUUUGCCAAAAGGUAAGGUGCCGUCUCCACGGCGAGAGAAUUGCUGCAAUAGUCUCGCCGAGCGACAAAAGAUACAAACUAUAGCCGCGAUAGGAGAUUAGUCCAUAGAGUUUGUAUAGAAUUUUGUCACACGGCAAGACAAUUGCCGCGAUUCUCUCGUUCCUGGAGAUGGCACCUAACUAUUAUACCCUAUCCGCGGAAUGAAGUGAAUAUAGUGCUCUCUCUGUUUGGCUCUAUCAUUUGUAUGGGUACGUAACAGAAAGAGCUAUACUGAAUUAUCCACGGAAUGAAGUUAGCAUAGCGCUCUCUCUGUUUUUGUAUGGGAUUAGGUAGAGAAAGCGCUAUAUUAACUUGACUCCGCGGAUAGGGUAUAGUUAUUUCAUUCUGUAAUGCAAAAUUUGCGUGUUCAUUACGUACAUAGGACUUAAUAAAUAGCAAUGUACUAAAUCGUAGUUAGUGUAAUAUUUGUAAGAUUCGUGUAUAUUUUUUUUUGUGUAAGCUGUGAUUUAAGGCUCUAGAGAGGCCCUUUUUGCAAUCAUUGCCAUUUUGUUUAAGUUACUUAAUAAUGUACUUUUAAAAUUUAAUUUAAGCGAUGUAAUUAUGUGAAGGUGAAACUUUCAUUUUAGUUUGAAACUUUGUUUAUUUAGUUAUUAAUUAAAACAAAACAAAGAUACUGACACGUUGACCAUAAGGUGACGAUAUUUUAUUUUGUUGUUUCUUUUCCGUCUUUAAUUAUAUUAUUAUAGUAAUUGUAUAGUAUUAUUUAUGUUUUGAUUUUUUUUUUUGUGCAAUAUCUACUUGGCAUAAAGUAUUUUUUUUAAAUUUUAAUCUCGGUUUGGAACUAAAACCCGAUUAAAUAUAAUAAUAUUUACUUUAUGCUUCGUGUUAGCACUUUUUUCAGGCUGUAGAAGUCAGCUUUUGAAACCAGUAAUUCACUGCCGAUUGUUAAAAUAAGAUAAAAUUGCUUAAAGCAAAAAAAUUGUUUU